AUUGAACGCUGGCGGCAGGCCUAACACAUGCAAGUCGAACGAGUGGCGGAAGGGUGAGUAAUGUCUGGGAAACUGCCUGAUGGAGGGGGAUAACUACUGGAAACGGUAGCUAAUACCGCAUACCAUCAGAUGUGCCCAGAUGGGAUUAGCUAGGUGGUGGGGUAACGGCGCACCAAGGCGACGAUCCCUAGCUGGUCUGAACGGAUGACCAGCCAAACUGGAACUGAGACACGGUCCAGACUCCUACGGGAGGCAGCAGUGGGGAAUAUUGCACAAUGGGGGCAAGCCUGAUGCAGCCAUGCGGCGUGUAUGAAGAAGGCCUUCGGGUUGUAAAGUACUUUCAGCGGGGAGGCGUUACCCGCAGAAGAAGCACCGGCUAACUCCGUGCCAGCCGCCGCGGUAAUUC
rnacentral:rRNA from 1 species